rnacentral:rRNA from 1 species
CCUUGACGGUACCUAACCAGAAAGCCACGGCUAACUACGUGCCAGCAGCCGCGGUAAUACGUAGGUGGCAAGCGUUGUCCGGAUUUAUUGGGCGUAAAGCGCUCGCAGGCGGUCUUUUAAGUCUGAUGUGAAAGCCCACGGCUUAACCGUGGAGGGUCAUUGGAAACUGGAGGACUUGAGUGCAGAAGAGGAGAGUGGAAUUCCAUGUGUAGCGGUGAAAUGCGUAUAGAUAUGGAGGAACACCAGUGGCGAAGGCGACUCUCUGGUCUGUAACUGACGCUGAGGAGCGAAAGCGUGGGUAGCGAACAGGAUUAGAUACCCUGGUAGUCCACGCCGUAAACGAUGAGUGCUAGGUGUUAGGGGGUUUCCGCCCCUUAGUGCUGAAGUUAACGACAUUAAGCACUCCGCCUGGGGAGUACGGCCGCAAGGCUGAAAC